rnacentral:rRNA from 1 species
AACGAACGCUGGCGGAAGGAAGAAAAAAGGAAAGUGGAAAGAGACCUUCGGGUCUAGUGGCGCACGGGUGCGUAACGCGUGGGAACCUGCCCUUAGGUUCGGAAUAACUCCCCGAAAGGGGUGCUAAUACCGGAUAAUGUCUUCGGACCAAAGAUUUAUCGCCUUUGGAUGGGCCCGCGUUGGAUUAGCUAGUUGGUAGGGUAAAAGCCUACCAAGGCGACGAUCCAUAGCUGGUCUGAGAGGAUGAUCAGCCACACUGGGACUGAGACACGGCCCAGACUCCUACGGGAGGCAGCAGUGGGGAAUAUUGGACAAUGGGCGAAAGCCUGAUCCAGCAAUGCCGCGUGAGUGAUGAAGGCCUUAGGGUUGUAAAGAUCUUUUACCCGGGAUGAUAAUGACAGUACCGGGAGAAUAAGCUCCGGCUAACUCCGUA